rnacentral:rRNA from 1 species
UACGGAGGGGGCGAGCGUUAUUCGGAAUUAUUGGGCGUAAAGAGCUCGUAGGCGGUCUGUCACGUCGGCUGUGAAAACCCGAGGCUCAACCUCGGGCCUGCAGUCGAUACGGGCAAACUAGAGUGUUGCAGGGGAGACUGGAAUUCCUGGUGUAGCGGUGAAAUGCGCAGAUAUCAGGAGGAACACCGGUGGCGAAGGCGGGUCUCUGGGCAACAACUGACGCUGAGGAGCGAAAGCGUGGGGAGCGAACAGG